rnacentral:rRNA from 1 species
AGUGAACGCUGGCGGUAGGCCUAACACAUGCAAGUCGAACGGCAGCACAGUAAGAGCUUGCUCUUACGGGUGGCGAGUGGCGGACGGGUGAGGAAUACAUCGGAAUCUACUUUUUCGUGGGGGAUAACGUAGGGAAACUUACGCUAAUACCGCAUACGACCUACGGGUGAAAUCAGGGGAUCUCCGGACCUUGCGCGAUUGAAUGAGCCGAUGUCGGAUUAGCUAGUUGGCGGGGUAAAGGCCCACCAAGGCGACGAUCCGCAGCUGGUCUGAGAGGAUGAUCAGCCACACUGGAACUGAGACACGGUCCAGACUCCUACGGGAGGCAGCAGUGGGGAAUAUUGGACAAUGGGCGCAAGCCUGAUCCAGCUAUACCGCGUGGGUGAAGAAGGCCUUCGGGUUGUAAAGCCCUUUUGUUGGGAAAGAAAAGCAGCAGGUUAAUACCCCGCUGUUCUGACGGUACCCAAAGAAUAAGCACCGGCUAACUUCGUG